rnacentral:tRNA from 1 species
AGCUCAGUUGGUAGAGCAGUCCGCCGCAGGCGGAUAAACAGCAGGUCAGCGGUUCGAUCCCGCUCGUCG